GGGCAGAUAGAAGAACAAGAUGUUCAUCCAUGGGAAACUACAGUUGCUCUAAUGAGCUUGAGAAGCAAUCAGCUCUGAGGAUGAAUCACUGUAUAGAACAGAAGAGUGCACGAAGGUUGAUGUGGUUCUGCAUAUCGUCAAGAUAUAUGAUUUUGCACCAAAGGAAACUGAUUCAAGCAGAAAGACACCCAAGAGGCUGAAGUAACGAGCAGUAAUUUAUCCAAAGAUUUUUGGUGAUCCUCAAUUGGAAGCUGGGUGACAGCUGGAUCAUGACAGUAAGGAGAACUGGAGAUGGGAGUAGUGGAGGUAAAACAAGGAGUCAGAAGGCUGAAAAGCAGAAAUGCUGUUGGAAGAACAGAGUGCCCAGGUCUGGUUUUACCUCAUUAAUUGUCUUCAAGCGAAGAUUGACUCUGUUAAUGCCAGCAGUCACAGCUGGAUGCAGGAUGCCAGUGAGUGUAUAAUGGCAGCUGGUUUUCCCUUGCAGUCUUUAUUACAAAGAUCUCAUUCUCGCCUCUGUGAGACCCACUGAGAUCCUGAGUAUGGCAAGGGCAGGAGAACCAUCCACUGCUGACAGCUGGCAGCUUGUGGCACGACAUGAAAAACUCCGCUGCUCUGAGCUGGAUGAUUCAAGUUGCCUCCAUGAUGUCUUAUCUUGGGCUAAAUCAUCUACUGAGAGGAAAAGAAAGAGAGCCACAGAUUUUAUGUCAGAAGAAGCUUUGAAGGUCCUUGGCUUUUCUGCUUUCUCCAAAUCCUGGAUCUGGUUCAAGAUAUCGUUUGCCAGCCUGUGUCUUCACCCGGCAUAUCACAAGCCUCUGUCCUUUCCAAAUAGCAAGUCAUCUAGGACCAUCUAGGACUUGGUAUUUUGAUCCCUUUUUCAUGCUCCUAACCUCCUCAGUAAGUAAACUUGACAUUUGCUCAUGUCGAACUACUUGAUGUUCUUGCCAGCCUGCCCAU